rnacentral:lncRNA from 1 species
AUGACCGCUGAGCCCAUGAGCGAAAGCAAGUUGAAUACAUUGGUGCAGAAGCUUCAUGACUUUCUGGCACACUCAUCAGAGGAAUCUGAAGAAACAAGUUCUCCUCCAAGACUUGUGAUGAACCAAAGCACAGAUAAAGUCAGUGGGUCUGGCAAUAACUCUGAUAUGAUGGAAAACAGCAGGGAAGAGGGAGCUAGCUCUGCAGAAAAAUCCAAAUCGUCAGGAUCCUCACGAUCAAAGAGGAAACCUUCAAUUGUAACAAAGUAUGUAGAAUCUGAUGAUGAAAAACCUUUGGAUGAAACUGUAAAUGAAGAUGCUUCUAAUGAAAAUUCAGAAAAUGAUAUUACUAUGCAAAGCUUGCCAAAAGGUACAGUGAUUGUACAACCAGAGCCAGUGCUGAAUGAAGACAAAGAUGAUUUUAAAGGGCCUGAAUUUAGAAGCAGAAGUAAAAUGAAAACUGAAAAUCUCAAAAAACGCGGAGAAGAUGGGCUUCAUGGGAUUGUGAGCUGUACAGCUUGUGGACAACAGGUCAAUCAUUUUCAAAAAGAUUCCAUUUAUAGACAUCCUUCACUGCAAGUACUUAUUUGUAAGAAUUGCUUUAAAUAUUAUAUGAGUGAUGAUAUUAGCCGUGACUCAGAUGGAAUGGAUGAACAGUGUAGAUGGUGUGCAGAAGGUGGAAACUUAAUUUGUUGUGACUUUUGCCAUAAUGCCUUCUGUAAGAAGUGCAUUCUUCGCAACCUUGGUCGAAAGGAGCUGUCUACAAUAAUGGAUGAAAACAACCAAUGGUAUUGCUACAUUUGCCACCCAGAGCCUUUGUUGGACUUGGUCACGGCAUGUAACAGCGUAUUUGAAAACUUAGAACAGUUGUUGCAACAAAAUAAGAAGAAGAUAAAAGUUGACAAUGAAAAGACUAGUAAAGUAUAUGAGCAUGCACCCAGAUUUUCUCCAAAGAAAAACAGUUCAAAUUGUAAUGGAGAAGAAAAGAAGUUAGAUGAUUCAUAUUCUGGUUCUGUAACCUACUCUUAUUCAGCACUAAUUGUGCCCAAGGACAUGAUUAAGAAGGCAAAAAAACUGAUUGAGACUACUGCCAACAUGAAUUCCAGUUACAUUAAAUUUUUGAAGCAGGCAACAGAUAAUUCAGAAAUCAAUUCUGCUACAAAGUUACGUCAGCUUAAGGCUUUUAAGUCUGUGUUGGCUGAUAUCAAGAAAGCUCAUCUUGCAUUAGAAGAAGAUUUGAAUUCAGAGAUUCAAGCUUUGGAUGCUGUAAACAAAGAGAAAAAUACCGAAGAGCAUAAAGUCAUAGAUGCUAAGUCUGAAACAAAAGUAAGAAAAGGAGAAAAACCUUGUGUUUUGGAAAGGAAGGAUAUUUCAAAAUCAGAAGGUAAACUGUCAAGAAAGCAGGUAGAUAGUGAGCAUAUAGGUCAGAGUGUUGCAGUAGAGGAACAAAGAGCACAUAAAAAUGCCAGUACUGAACAUAAGAAAUCUGAUAAAAAAGAACCUCAGUAUGAACCUACUAACACUGCCGAAGACUUAGACAUGGAUAUUGUGUCUGUUCCUUCCUCAGUUCCAGAAGACAUUUUUGAAAAUCUUGAGACUGCUAUGGAAGUUCAGAGUUCAUCAGAGUAUCAGGGAGAUGGCAACAGUGGAACUGAACAAGAACUGGAGACUUCUAUAAAAUUAAAUAUUACUUCAAAAGACAACAGAGGAGGUGCUGAUUGUCAGGAAGUUCCACAAGAUAAAGAUAGCUAUAAAAGUUCUUGUCUGAACCCUAAGCCAGAGAACUGUGAACUUGAACAGGAAAAGAAUGAUAAUGAGCAUUUGGCUAAAAGUGAAGUUCCGUUACUUUCAGAAGAAUCUGAUCUUCGAAGAUCCCCGCGUGUAAAGACUACACCUUUGAGGCGACAGACAGAAACCAACCGUACAACAUCUAAUUCAGAUGAAGAAAAUAAUGAAACAGUUAAGGAGCAACAAAAACUUACAGUUCCAAUGAGAAAAAAGGAUAAGCGGAAUUCUUCUGACAGUGCUAUAGAUAAUCCUAAACCUAAUAAAUUGCCUAAAUCUAAGCAGUCAGAGAUUGUGGAUCACAUUUCAGAUUCUGAAGAAAUGCUGGCAAUCCUCAAAGACGUGCCCAGUAUGAGUCACAGUUCUUCAGAUACUGAUAUUAAUGAACCUCAUACAAAUAACAAGAAGACUUUUUACUCAGAGAUUCAAAGAGGGAAAGAUGAUAAAAGAAAAAGGAAACGAAAAAGUUCUACUUCUGGCUCAGAUUUUGAUAUUAAGAAAGGUAAAUCAGUUAAAAAGUCUAUAAUUUCUAAAAAGAAACGGCAAAACCAGUCUGAAUCUUCUAAUUAUGACUCAGAAUUAGAAAAAGAGAUAAAGAGAAUGAGUAAAAUUGGGACUGCCAGAACAACCAAAAAAAGAGUUCCAAAUAAAGAAGAUUAUGAUUCUUCUGAAGAUGAAAAACACAACAAACAAGGAAUGGAUAAUCAAGGUCAUAAAAGUUUGAGGACUGCACAGGAAGGAUCAUCUGAUGAUGCUGAAAGGAAACAAGAGAGAGAGAAUUUCUCUUCAGCAGAAGGCACAGUUGAUAAAGACAAGACCAACAUGGAAUUGAGAGAUUGCCUCUCUAAGAAGCAGCAGCCUGAUGUUUCCUCAGAGAGUGCUGAUAAGCUUUGUUCUGGGAAAGAGGAGAGUUUUAAUUCUCCAGAAGAUAAAAAGUUUGCUGAAUCUAAAGGAAAGAGUAAGCACCAGCGAACCAGAAUGUGUAAGAAAAUACUGGGUGGCUUAUGUGAUGUUGCUGAGAAGUUCUCAGAGAAAGAACAGAGUGAUGAAUCCUCUGAAGAUGAUAACGAGCAGAGCAAAAAGGAAAUUGAAGAAAAAGAAAAGAAGACUGCAGACUUGAGUGAAAAAGUGAUGGAACAAGAGUAUGAAUCAUCAUCUGAUACUACUGAGAAAUUACCUGAGGGAGAAGAAAUUUGUCACUUUCCUAAAAGGAUAAAACAAAAUAAGAGCUCAGCUGAUGGGGAAAAGAAAUGCAAAAAAAGAAAAGAUAAAGCUUCUAAAAAGAAGGGUGAAUUAUCUGAUAAUUCUGAGAAGUUACCAGGGAAAAGAGAAAGUUGUGAUUCUUCAGAAGAUAAGAGGAGUAAGAAUGGAACAUCGAGUAGAGAGAAGAAAAGGUUCAACUUGCCUGAAAAGAGUUCGAGGAAGAGACAGGAUUGUUCAUCAUCUGAUACUGAAAAAUAUUCCAUGAAGGAAGAUGGCUGUGAUUUUUCUGAUAAGAGACCAAAAAGAAUAGAAUUAAGGGAAAGAAGGAAUUUAAAUUCAAAUAGAAAUAGCAAGGAAGUACAAAGUGGCUCAUCAUCUUCUGAUGUUGAGGAAAGUUCUGAAGAUAAUAAAAACCUGAAGAAACAAAGAACUUCAGCUAAAAAGAAGGCAGGCAGUAUGAAGGAGAAAAUGAGAAACUCCUUGAGAACAAGCACUAAAAGGAAGCAGGCUGACAUUACUUCCUCAUCUUCUUCUGAUAUAGGAGAUGAUGAUCAGAAAUCUGUAGGUGAGGGGAGCAGUGAUGAGCAGAAAAUUAAGCCUGUGACUGAAAAUUUAGUGCUGUCGUCACAUACUGGAUUUUGUCAAUCUUCAGGAGACGAAGCCUUAUCUAAAUCAGUGCCUGUCACAGUGGAUGAUGACGACGAUGACAAUGAUCCUGAAAAUAGAAUUGCCAAGAAGAUGCUUUUAGAAGAAAUUAAAGCCAAUCUUUCCUCCGAUGAGGAUGGAUCUUCAGAUGAGUCAGAAGAAGGGAAGAAAAGAACUGGAAAACACAAUGAAGAAAACCCUGGAGAUGAGGUGAGUAGUGAAGAUUCUGAAGAUUCUGAUUUUCAGGAAUCUGGAGUUAGUGAAGAAGUUAGUGAAUCUGAAGAUGAACAACGGCCCAGAACAAGAUCUACGAAGAAAGCAGAGUUGGAAGAAAAUCAGAGAAGUUACAAACAGAAGAAGAAAAGGCGACGCAUUAAGGUUCAAGAAGACUCAUCUAGUGAAAACAAGAGUAAUUCUGAAGAAGAUAAAGAAGAAGAUGAAGAAGAAGAUGAAGAAGAAGAUGAAAAUGAUGAUUCGAAGUCUCCUGGAAAAGGCAGAAAGAAAAUUCGGAAGAUUCUUAAAGAUGAUAAGCUAAGAACAGAAACACAAAAUGCUCUUAAGGAAGAAGAAGAGAGGCGAAAACGUAUUGCUGAGAGAGAGCGAGAGCGAGAAAAAUUGAGAGAGGUGAUAGAAAUUGAAGAUGCUUCACCGACUAAGUGUCCAAUAACAACGAAGUUGGUUUUAGAUGAAGAUGAAGAAACCAAAGAACCUUUAGUGCAGGUUCAUAGAAAUAUGGUUAUCAAAUUGAAACCACAUCAAGUAGAUGGUGUUCAAUUUAUGUGGGAUUGCUGCUGUGAGUCUGUUAAAAAAACAAAGAAAUCUCCAGGUUCAGGAUGCAUUCUUGCCCACUGCAUGGGCCUUGGUAAGACUUUACAGGUGGUAAGUUUUCUUCAUACAGUUCUUUUGUGUGACAAAUUGGAUUUCAGCACAGCUUUGGUGGUUUGUCCUCUUAAUACUGCUUUGAAUUGGAUGAAUGAAUUUGAGAAGUGGCAGGAGGGAUUAAAAGAUGAUGAGAAGCUUGAGGUCUCUGAAUUAGCAACUGUGAAACGUCCUCAAGAAAGAAGCUACAUGCUACAGAGGUGGCAAGAAGAUGGUGGUGUUAUGAUCAUAGGCUAUGAGAUGUACAGAAAUCUUGCUCAAGGAAGGAAUGUGAAGAGUAGGAAACUUAAAGAAAUAUUUAACAAAGCAUUGGUUGAUCCAGGACCUGACUUUGUUGUUUGUGAUGAAGGCCAUAUUCUAAAAAAUGAAGCAUCUGCUGUUUCAAAAGCUAUGAAUUCUAUACGAUCAAGGAGGAGAAUUAUUUUAACAGGAACACCACUUCAAAAUAACCUAAUUGAGUAUCAUUGCAUGGUUAACUUUAUCAAAGAAAAUUUGCUUGGAUCCAUUAAGGAAUUCAGGAAUCGGUUUAUAAAUCCAAUCCAAAAUGGUCAGUGUGCAGAUUCUACCAUGGUAGAUGUCAGAGUAAUGAAAAAACGAGCUCACAUUCUCUAUGAAAUGUUAGCUGGAUGUGUUCAGAGGAAAGAUUAUACAGCAUUAACAAAGUUUUUGCCUCCAAAGCAUGAGUAUGUUUUAGCUGUGAGAAUGACUCCUAUUCAGUGCAAACUCUAUCAAUACUACUUAGAUCACUUAACAGGUGUAGGUAAUAGCAGUGAAGGCGGAAGAGGAAAGGCCGGUGCAAAACUUUUCCAAGAUUUUCAAAUGUUAAGUAGAAUCUGGACUCACCCAUGGUGUUUGCAGCUGGACUACAUUAGUAAAGAAAAUAAGGGAUAUUUUGAUGAAGACAGUAUGGAUGAAUUUAUAGCUUCAGAUUCCGAUGAAACCUCCAUGAGUUUAAGCUCUGAUGAUUAUACAAAAAAGAAAAAAGCAAAGGGGAAAAAGGGAAAAAAAGAUAGUAGCUCAAGUGGAAGUGGCAGUGACAAUGAUGUUGAAGUGAUUAAAGUCUGGAAUUCAAGAUCUCGAGGAGGUGGUGAAGGAAAUGUGGAUGAAACAGGAAACAAUCCCUCAGUUUCUUUAAAACUGGAAGAAAGUAAAGCUACUUCCUCUUCUAAUCCAAGCAGCCCAGCUCCAGACUGGUACAAAGAUUUUGUUACAGAUGCUGAUGCUGAGGUUUUAGAGCAUUCUGGAAAAAUGGUACUUCUCUUUGAAAUUCUUCGAAUGGCAGAGGAAAUUGGGGAUAAAGUCCUUGUUUUCAGCCAAUCUCUCAUAUCUCUGGACUUGAUUGAAGAUUUUCUUGAAUUGGCUAGUAGAGAAAAGACAGAAGAUAAAGAUAAGCCUCUUAUUUAUAAAGGUGAAGGGAAGUGGCUCAGAAACAUUGAUUAUUAUCGUUUAGAUGGCUCUACAACUGCUCAGUCAAGGAAAAAAUGGGCUGAAGAAUUUAAUGAUGAAACUAAUGUGAGAGGGCGAUUAUUUAUCAUUUCUACCAAAGCAGGAUCUCUUGGAAUUAAUCUGGUAGCUGCUAAUCGAGUGAUUAUAUUUGAUGCUUCUUGGAAUCCAUCUUAUGACAUCCAGAGUAUAUUCAGAGUUUAUCGCUUUGGACAAACUAAACCUGUCUAUGUAUAUAGGUUCUUAGCUCAGGGAACCAUGGAAGAUAAGAUUUAUGAUCGGCAAGUAACUAAGCAGUCACUGUCUUUUCGAGUUGUUGAUCAACAGCAAGUUGAACGUCAUUUUACCAUGAAUGAGCUGACUGAACUUUAUACCUUUGAGCCAGACUUGUUAGAUGACCCUAAUUCAGAAAAGAAGAAGAAAAGGGAUACUCCCAUGCUGCCAAAGGACACCAUACUUGCAGAACUUCUUCAAAUACAUAAAGAACAUAUUGUAGGAUAUCAUGAACAUGAUUCUCUUUUGGACCACAAAGAAGAAGAAGAGUUGACUGAAGAAGAAAGAAAAGCAGCUUGGGCUGAAUAUGAAGCAGAGAAGAAGGGACUGACCAUGCGUUUCAACAUACCAACUGGGACCAAUUUACCCCCUGUCAGUUUUAACUCUCAAACUCCUUAUAUUCCUUUCAAUUUGGGAGCCCUAUCAGCAAUGAGUAAUCAACAGCUGGAGGACCUCAUUAAUCAAGGAAGAGAAAAAGUUGUGGAAGCAACAAACAGUGUGACAGCAGUGAGGAUUCAGCCUCUUGAAGAUAUAAUUUCAGCUGUAUGGAAAGAAAACAUGAAUCUCUCAGAGGCCCAGGUACAGGCAUUAGCAUUAAGUAGACAAGCCAGCCAGGAGCUUGAUGUCAAACGAAGAGAGGCAAUCUACAAUGACGUGUUGACAAAACAACAGAUGUUAAUCAGCUGUGUUCAGCGAAUACUUAUGAACCGAAGGCUCCAGCAACAGUACAAUCAGCAGCAGCAGCAGCAAAUGACUUAUCAACAAGCAACGCUGGGUCACCUCAUGAUGCCAAAGCCUCCGAAUUUAAUCAUGAAUCCUUCUAACUACCAGCAGAUUGAUAUGAGAGGAAUGUAUCAGUCAGUGGCUGGUGGUAUGCAGCCACCACCAUUACAACGUGCACCACCCCCAAUGAGAAGCAAAAAUCCAGGACCUUCCCCAGGGAAAUCAAUGUGAUUUUGCACUAAAAGCUUAAAAGAUUGUUAAAAUCAUAGAAAGAUCUUUUAUUUUUUUAGGAAUCAAUGACUUAACAGAACUCAACUGUAUAAAUAGUUUGGUCCCCUUAAAUGCCAAUCUUCCAUAUUAGUUUAAAAAUUUUUUUUAAUAGGGCAUACCAUUUCUUCCUGACAUUUGUCAGUGAUGUUGCCUAGAAUCUUCUUACACACAUUGAGUACAGAAGAUCUUUCAAAUUGUUUUCAGUGAAAACAAGUCCUUCCAUAACAGUAACAACUCCACAGGUUUCCUCUCUAAAUUUUUAUGCCUGCUUUUAGUGACCAUAAAAUUGUCAUAAAUUAAUGAAUUUAUGAAAGAAUACUGAUUUAUAUAUUCAUUCUUUACAUAUAAAGACACACAGCUGAGUUCUUAGAGUUGAUUCCUCAAGUUAUGGAAUACUUUUGUACUUAUCCAUUUCUUGACUAA